rnacentral:rRNA from 1 species
CAGUCCCACGGGAAUACGGAGGGGGCUAGCGUUGUUCGGAAUUACCGGGCGUAAAGCGCACGUAGGCGGCUUGGUAAGUUAGAGGUGAAAGCCCGGAGCUCAACUCCGGAAUUGCCUUUAAGACUGCCGAGCUAGUAGGUGAGAGAGGUAAGUGGAAUUCCGAGUGUAGAGGUGAAAUUCGUAGAUAUUCGGAAGAACACCAGUGGCGAAGGCGGCUUACUGGCUCAUUCUAGACGCUGAGGUGCGAAAGCGUGGGGAGCAAACAGGAUUAGAUACCCCUGUAGUCCCUGUCUCUUAUACA